rnacentral:rRNA from 1 species
GACGAACGCUGGCGGCGUGCUUAACACAUGCAAGUCGAACGGACAGGCCCUGCGCUUGUUGGGUUCUCGUGUGGCGAACGCGUGAGUAACACGUGAGUAACCUGCCCUUAUCUUUGUGAUAACUUCAGGAAACUGGGGCUCAUAUCGGAUAGGAUCUCCUGCUGCAUGGGGGGGGUUGGAAAGUUACGGCGGUUGGGGAUGGACUCGCUGCUUACGAGCUUGUUGGUGGGGUAGUGGCUUACCAAGGCUUUGACGGGUAGGCGGCCUGAGAGGGUGACCGGCGACAAUGGGACUGAGAUACGGCGCAGACGCCUACGGGAGGCAGCAGUGGGGAAUAUUGCACAAUGGGCGGAAGUGUGAUGCAGAAACGCCGCGUGCGGGAUGACGGCCUUCGGGUUGUAAACAGCUUUCGACUGUGACGAAGCGUGCGUGACGGUACUGGGUCAAGAAGCAACGGCUAACUACGUG